rnacentral:rRNA from 1 species
CCUACGGGCGGCAGCAGUCGAGAAUCAUUCACAAUGGGGGAAACCCUGAUGGUGCGACGCCGCGUGGGGGAAGAAGUAAUUCGUUAUGUAAAGCUCUAUUAGCAGGGAAGAAAAUGACGGUACCUGAGUAAGACGCCCCGGCUAACUACGUGACAGCAGCCGCGGUAAUACGGAGGGGGCAAGCGUUAUCCGGAUUUACGGGGCGUAAAGGGAGCGUAGACGGCAGUGCAAGUCUGGAGUGAAAGGCUGGGGCUCAACCCCCGAACUGCUCUGGAAACUGUAUGGCUGGAGUGCAGGAGAGGUAAGUGGAAUUCCUGGUGUAGCGGUGAAAUGCGUAGAUAUUAGGAGGAACACCAGUGGCGAAGGCGGCUUACUGGACUGUAACUGACGUUGAGGCUCGAAAGCGUGGGUAGCAAACAGGAUUAGAUACCCCAGUAGUC